GUUGCACUGCUUCAUGCAUCAACAAGAAGAUUUUCCUGCUGUACCGACAAUGAAGAUGACUUGGAACAAUUCAGUGAGGGUCAUAGUCAGCUUGCUGAUUUAGCACUUGAGCAUCUUCUUUUGGCCUCUCUUUUAGUAAUUACUGUCAUUGUGUUAUUUUGUUCAUGGAGCAAACUGUAACUGUGCAGUUUGAUUUACAACGCCAAAACUGAAUGUAGUUUGACGCUGCUCUUUUGCUUUG